rnacentral:rRNA from 1 species
GACGAACGCUGGCGGCGUGCUUAACACAUGCAAGUCGAACGGAAAGGCCCUGCUUUUGUGGGGUGCUCGAGUGGCGAACGGGUGAGUAACACGUGAGUAACCUGCCCUUGACUUUGGGAUAACUUCAGGAAACUGGGGCUAAUACCGGAUAGGAGCUCCUGCUGCAUGGUGGGGGUUGGAAAGUUUCGGCGGUUGGGGAUGGACUCGCGGCUUAUCAGCUUGUUGGUGGGGUAGUGGCUUACCAAGGCUUUGACGGGUAGCCGGCCUGAGAGGGUGACCGGCCACAUUGGGACUGAGAUACGGCCCAGGCUCCUACGGGAGGCAGCAGUGGGGAAUAUUGCAAAAUGGGCGGAAGCCUGAUGCAGCAACGCCGCGUGCGGGAUGACGGCCUUCGGGUUGUAAACCGCUUUCGCCUGUGACGAAGCGUGAGUGACGGUAAUGGGUAAAGAAGCACCGGCUAACUACGUG